UACGGGCAAACCAAAUUGAUAAUACCGGUUCCCGUACAAUCACUAAAGUUAAGCAAUGUAGAGCAUGUUCAGGGCCUAGAUGGGUGACCGCUUGGGGAUAUCAGGUACUGCAA